rnacentral:rRNA from 1 species
AAUGAACGCUGGCGGCAUGCCUAACACAUGCAAGUCGAACGAAGGCUUCGGCCUUAGUGGCGCACGGGUGCGUAACGCGUGGGAAUCUGCCCUCAGGUUCGGAAUAACAGCGAGAAAUUGCUGCUAAUACCGGAUGAUAUCGCGAGAUCAAAGAUUUAUCGCCUGAGGAUGAGCCCGCGUAGGAUUAGCCAGUUGGUGUGGUCAAGGCGCACCAAGGCGACGAUCCUUAGCUGGUCUGAGAGGAGGAUCAGCCACACUGGGACUGGGACACGGCCCAGACUCCUACGGGAGGCAGCAGGGGGGAAGAUUGGACAAUGGGCGAAAGCCUGAUCCAGCAAUGCCGCGGGAGUGAGGAAGGCCUUAGGGUUGGAAAGCUCUUUUACCCGGGAUGAUAAUGACAGUACCGGGAGAAUAAGCGCCGGCUAACUCCGUGCCAGCAGCCGCCGUAAAAC